AUUGUAGAAAGUGAGACUGCGUAAUAUUAAAAGUCGAAGCGAAUUAAAGAUACUACAUGCACUUGGAAAAAAGAGUUUGGCAAGAAAAGCUUAUGAGAUUGAAGAGGAGACUGGCAAAGAACCAAGUCGAGCAGAAAUGUUCAUUGCAUCACGAACAAGAUCAGAUGGAAAUUUCAUUUGCAAUGAAGCAAGGAUAUCUGCAGAUAAGCUUACACAAGUAAUGAAUCAAAAUAUUAAAAGUGAAGCAUCAAGUAGUGAGUCUGGUCCUAAGGAUGCAUUUGAACAAGUAUUUGGUUCCGAGCAUUCUGGAAGAGUUCGAUGUGUGGGACGUGGUCCAACACCGUCCAAAUACUUUCAGAAUUUGGAAUCGCAGGUAAGAAGUAACUCUGAGAUACUUGAGCUGAAGUCUCGCAUGAAAGGACUUGAAGAUAAACUUGAUAUCGUGGCUAACGCUCUUCAGAUUAUUAUUUCAAACAAUCAAUUUCAAACUAGUACGACAGAGACUAAGAUUGACUAGAAUGAUCAUAAAGUGACGUGAUAUGGAAUUUAGUGAAGAAUGGAGACAAUGAUUUCAUCUAGCCUUUUGAUAGAAGAUGAAGGACAAGAAAAUAUAGAAGAUGAAGGACAAGAAAAUAUAGAAGAGGAUAUAUAAAAGAUAGAUUUUAAUGCAAUGUUAUUUACUUUUACAUUUUUUAUUAUCAUGUACACAAGAACACAAGUAUAUUUGAGACAGAUUAAUUGAUUUUUAUCACUUGAUGAAUAUUGUGUUCUGGUUA